CGGCAACAGCUCAAAUUUGAAAUCUGGCGCCUUCAGCGUCCGAGUUGUAAUUUGUAGAGGAUGUUCCGACCACGGCCCCGGGUUAAGUUUCUUGGAACAGAACGUCAGAGAGGGUGAGAACCCCGUCCUGACCCGGUGGCACGAGUCAAGUGGAACUCCUUCGAC
rnacentral:rRNA from 1 species